rnacentral:rRNA from 1 species
GAUGAACGCUGGCGGCGUGCCUAAUACAUGCAAGUCGAGCGAACGGACGAGAAGCUUGCUUCUCUGAUGUUAGCGGCGGACGGGUGAGUAACACGUGGAUAACCUACCUAUAAGACUGGGAUAACUUCGGGAAACCGGAGCUAAUACCGGAUGAUAUUUUGAACCGCAUGGUUCAAAAGUGAAAGACGGUCUUGCUGUCACUUAUAGAUGGGUCCGCGCUGCAUUAGCUAGUUGGUAAGGUAACGGCUUACCAAGGCAACGAUGCAUAGCCGACCUGAGAGGGUGAUCGGCCACACUGGAACUGAGACACGGUCCAGACUCCUACGGGAGGCAGCAGUAGGGAAUCUUCCGCAAUGGGCGAAAGCCUGACGGAGCAACGCCGCGUGAGUGAUGAAGGUCUUCGGAUCGUAAAACUCUGUUAUUAGGGAAGAGCAUAUGUGUAAGUAACUGUGCACAUCUUGACGGUACCUAAUCAGAAAGCCACGGCUAACUACGUG